rnacentral:misc_RNA from 1 species
GUCCGAAUUUCUUGCAGCCUCUCUGCUUCUCUUCGCCUUGGAGGCACAUACAAGCUUGCAUGGUAAAUGCCGGGACCUGGGGAAGCUUCUUCAAUGCACUGUAUAAGAGAUCUUGGACCUGUAAGGUCUGGGUCAUAGCUAACAGUUAACGUAUGUUCUGCAAGGUCCAUUUCAACAUGAUUCACACCUCGUGAUGACUCAAGGAAGGUUUGAACAUUGGUGGCAUCUUCUAUGGAAUUAAUUUCUUCAAUUUUCAGAUGCACUUUGUUCAAAUCAUUCCCAGAACUGACAAGCUCAGCUCCAAAGCCAGCAUCUUCUACGGCUUCUAUGAUGUGAUCUGUAUCAGUAAGGUUCGAAUCAAA